rnacentral:lncRNA from 1 species
GUGCUUUUAUCAUCUUGUUCUUUGGUAUAAAAUGUGUAGCCGUUAAUUGCAUAUCCAGUGUAAGAAUAGACAUGUGAAUUGGGACCACGUGAUAAGAAUGCCAAUCGUUCUGAAACUAAAGCAGGAUCUUCAGACAACUUCGAAUAAAUAUGAUUUUUAAACCAUGUUACAAAAUUUCGAUUGUGUUCCCGUGCUAUCCAAUUUUCACUUCUAUUUGGGUUCAAAGUAUUCAG